rnacentral:rRNA from 1 species
UACAGAGGUGGCAAGCGUUGUUCGGAAUUACUGGGCGUAAAGGGCGCGUAGGCGGCCUUCUAAGUCAGACGUGAAAUCCCCCGGCUUAACCUGGGAACUGCGUCUGAUACUGGGAGGCUUGAGUAUGGGAGAGGGAUGUAGAAUUCCAGGUGUAGCGGUGAAAUGCGUAGAUAUCAUUUGGAACGCCAAUGGUGAAAACAGCUCGCUGGGAAUGAUCUGACACUGAGACGCGAAAGCCAGGGGAGCGAACGGG